rnacentral:rRNA from 1 species
AGUCGAGCGGAAACGAGUUCACUGAACCUUCGGGGAACGUGAACGGCGUCGAGCGGCGGACGGGUGAGUAAUGCCUGGGAAAUUGCCCUGAUGUGGGGGAUAACCAUUGGAAACGAUGGCUAAUACCGCAUAAUAGCUUCGGCUCAAAGAGGGGGACCUUCGGGCCUCUCGCGUCAGGAUAUGCCCAGGUGGGAUUAGCUAGUUGGUGAGGUAAGGGCUCACCAAGGCAACGAUCCCUAGCUGGUCUGAGAGGAUGAUCAGCCACACUGGAACUGAGACACGGUCCAGACUCCUACGGGAGGCAGCAGUGGGGAAUAUUGCACAAUGGGCGCAGCCUGAUGCAGCC